rnacentral:rRNA from 1 species
AUUGAACGCUGGCGGCAUGCCUUACACAUGCAAGUCGAACGGCAGCACGGGGCAACCUGGUGGCGAGUGGCGAACGGGUGAGUAAUGCAUCGGAACGUGCCAUUGAGUGGGGGAUAACGUAGCGAAAGUUGCGCUAAUACCGCAUAUUCUGUGAGCAGGAAAGCAGGGGACCGCAAGGCCUUGCGCUCUUUGAGCGGCCGAUGUCAGAUUAGCUAGUUGGUGAGGUAAAGGCUUACCAAGGCGACGAUCUGUAGCGGGUCUGAGAGGAUGAUCCGCCACACUGGGACUGAGACACGGCCCAGACUCCUACGGGAGGCAGCAGUGGGGAAUAUUGGACAAUGGGCGCAAGCCUGAUCCAGCAAUGCCGCGUGUGUGAAGAAGGCCUGCGGGUUGUAAAGCACUUUCAGUGGGGGAGAACAGGUUCGGGUCAAUACCCCGGAGCCCUGACGUUACCCACAGAAGAAGCACCGGCUAACUCCGUGCCAGCAG